rnacentral:rRNA from 1 species
GAUGAACGCUGGCGGCGUGCCUAAUACAUGCAAGUCGAGCGAACAGACGAGGAGCUUGCUCCUCUGACGUUAGCGGCGGACGGGUGAGUAACACGUGGAUAACCUACCUAUAAGACUGGGAUAACUUCGGGAAACCGGAGCUAAUACCGGAUAAUAUAUAUUGAACCGCAGGGUUCUAUAGUGAAAGACGGUUUUGGUGUCACUUAUAGAUUGAUCCGCUCCGCAUUAGCUAGUUGGUAAGGUAACGGCUUACCAAGGCAACGGAGCGUAGCCGACCUGAGAGGGUGAUCGGCCACACUGGAACUGAGACACGGUCCAGACUCCUACGGGAGGCAGCAGUAGGGAAUCUUCCGCAAUGGGCGAAAGCCUGACGGAGCAACGCCGCGUGAGUGAUGAAGGUCUUCGGAUCGUAAAACUCUGUUAUUAGGGAAGAACAAAUGUGUAAGUAACUAUGCACGUCUUGACGGUACCUAAUCAGAAAGCCACGGCUAACUACGUG